UACAGAGGUCUCAAGCGUUGUUCGGAUUCAUUGGGCGUAAAGGGUGCGUAGGUGGCGCGCUAAGUCAGGUGUGAAAUUUCGGAGCUUAACUCCGAAACUGCAUUUGAUACUGGCGUGCUUGAGGACUGGAGAGGAGACUGGAAUUCAUGGUGUAGCAGUGAAAUGCGUAGAGAUCAUGAGGAAGACCAGUGGCGAAGGCGUGUCUCUGGACAGUUCCUGACACUGAGGCACGAAGGCCAGGGGAGCAAACGGG
rnacentral:rRNA from 1 species